CCAACUCAGGGCUCAGCCUCGCUCUCAGCACACAGCCCCUGGCAGCCUGCACACACACUCACUCACACACAAACACCACACACUACAAAAACCUGCUCCUCCAACAGCACUCCCACUGAAAGUCCCCUGUUAGCCGCUCUGUUCGCCGCCUCCUGUGCCGCUGCAGCUGACUGUGCCGCUGCCUGAGUGCCUGGCUCCUUAUAUAGGACCCCUAAUCAGGUAAGCCCCGCCCCCAACUCAGGGCUCAGCCUCGCUCUCAGCACACAGCCCCUAGCAGCCUGCACACACACUCACUCACACACAAACACCACACACUACAAAAACC